rnacentral:snRNA from 1 species
GUGCUCGCUUUGGCAGUACAUACACUAAAAUUGGAACGAUACAGAGAAGAUUAGCGUGACCCCUGCACAAGAAUGGUACGCAAAUUCAUUAAAUGUUAAAAAAAACA